AGUGAACGCUGGCGGUAGGCCUAACACAUGCAAGUCGAACGGCAGCACAGUAAGAGCUUGCUCUUACGGGUGGCGAGUGGCGGACGGGUGAGGAAUACAUCGGAAUCUACUUUUUCGUGGGGGAUAACGUAGGGAAACUUACGCUAAUACCGCAUACGACCUACGGGUGAAAGCAGGGGAUCUUCGGACCUUGCGCGAUUGAAUGAGCCGAUGUCGGAUUAGCUAGUUGGCGGGGUAAAGGCCCACCAAGGCGACGAUCCGUAGCUGGUCUGAGAGGAUGACAGGCCACACUGAAACUGAGCCACGGCCCAGAUCCCAAGGGAAGGCAGAAGGGGGGAAUAUUGGACAAUGGGCGCAACCCUGAUCCACCCAUACGGGGGGGUGGAAGAAGCCUUCCGGUUGUAAAAGCCUUUUUUUGGGGAAAAAAAGGCAGCGGGUUAAAACCCGGCUGUUCGACGGGAACCCAAAGAAAAGCACCGGCUAACUUCGUG
rnacentral:rRNA from 1 species